GGCGGCGGGUGCCUGAGGCGGAGCGGAGCCGCCCGGCUCUCCGGUGAGUCAGGGCCGCCCCGCGGGGUUGGAUCGAGCGAAACUCGACGAAACCCAGCCCGAACGUAACCCGCGAACAACAGCGGAAACCACCCGUGAGAGAGCGGCUCUGGAGCCUGGAUGUCACCAACAGAAAUACUAGAAAACUGGACAGAUGCAGAAUCACAAGGAAGAAGAGGAAGGAAAUGCCCACCAGUUUGUAAAGUGGACAAGGUGAAAACUCAACAAGAGCAGAGUGCGUAAAACUGGCAUCUUGCCCUAAUACCAGAAUGACUCGUAUUGGUUUAGGAAGAGUUAAAACCCAAGAUAUUUUAUCUAGUGUAUAUGCCAAAAUGAAAAGCAGCAGCAAAAACCUGCCCAAAACCUUCCAGCAGAAUGUCAAAAUCCAGAAAAAUGAGGCUAGGAGCAGAGAUGGUGGAUUAAGAGCUCACAUCAAUGGGCUUCUGUAGAGAAAUCUUCCUACUUUCUGCAUCUUGGGAAUGGAAGUAAAUGGAUUAUGAACUUCAGCAGUAGCUAAAAUACAUACCACAGUGAGAUCCUUGAGCUACAGAAGGGUACACUGGGAGAACUGAAAGCAGAUAUCCCUGGUGUCUCUAAUCGAGUUUAUUUAAACACAUUGAAGGCAUUGUUCCUGACAGGAGCCCAAGACAGUGCUGAACUCCUUAAUAUUUGCACUAUAUUGUGUGAAAGAAACAGGGCCGGUUUUUAAAUCAGGAAAAGGAAUAUUUUUAAUCACACAACUGAAAUAGCUCAACUUUGGCAAUUAUUUGUAAGAUUUCUACAGAGAAUUUGUAAGACUUCUACAGAGAAGCCCCAAAGGCUUUUUUUUUUUUUUUAAAAAAAAAAAAAGUUUUAAGGCUAAUGUUGCAGAAUGACUGAACUCUACCUUUUAUAAAAAAUUAUUAUUGCUAAUUCUCCAAGAAAUAGCUACCUGGAAUAGGCUUAAAGUUAAAAAUACCAUCAAUUUGCUAAAAAAAAAAAAAAAAAAAGGAAG